GACUCGGAACCGUUUAACUCCAGUUUCAAGGGAUCCCGCGCCCUCUGCUGGUCUCCACUGGUACUGCAUACACACAGCUCACAGACACAUGCUGGCAGCGUGCUCAAACAUGUAAGAUAGCGUGAAUUUUAAGGAGGUGAGAGAGCCUCAGGCUAUGACAGGAAGGAACAAAGCAGCAGGGCUCUGAGGAGAUCAAGAAGUCUAUUGACAUCAUCAUCUUUGAUCGGCUUGGAGAAGUAUUUGGGUUGGGGACCUAUGCAGAGGCUUCCGGGUGAGAACGGUGUUCCCCUAAAUUCAAAGGCUGCAAUAGUGUUAAAAGGUCAGAAUAACCAUUGUAUUGCGUCUUCCCGGGACAGAGAUGCAAUGCCAAGGGACCGCCAGAAAAAUACAGUGUUCAUUCGGCUGCUAUUUUGCUUCCAUUUGUUCUGUCUGUAAGCAUUGUUGCUACGCUAUUGGGAAAGGUGCUGUGCUGAUACAACUGACGUUAAGCUUUCGUUACAAAGAAGCAGAUCUUUAGAGAGCUGGACCACAAAACACGACUGGUUAAUUCCAGUCAGGAUCUGAACCCUGGUCCACGUAGCCCGCACACCACGUCCUCUGUGGAACCCUUCCUGCUGCCUGGACUGACGAAGACCACAGCAGUCUAGCGAAGACCCAACACAGCCCUAGAAGAACAGUCACUGGGCUGCUUACAACACAACCUUAGGGCUGUUAGCUGGGUUCACCUCUGACUCCCAGACCUGGAAUGUUAAACCCUGCCUACGUCUCUUCUACCCAGCCAUUGGCUAUCAGCAUCUUUAUUCAUCAAUCAAAAAUAAUUUGGGGGCAAGGUCACAUAGUGUCACUUGGGUCUACGUGCAGAUUUUUUCGGGCAACCAGGUCUUGGGGGCCUGAUAUUAGCAUCAGAAUAUAAGCUGCACCAGGCCAGCCAACUACAGAGAACAGCAGUGGGGGUCAUGAAUUCACUCCUGAGACUACAGGAUGAAGGGCACCUUCCUCUGUUUAACUUCAGCUUGAAAUUCUCUGCUACUGUCAUAACAGCUUCAU
rnacentral:sRNA from 1 species